GACCAAGUCAAAACUUGACCGUUUGUCCUACUGCCCUACUAACAUUUUCUGUUUAAUUAUUCUUCAUUUAGGGUAACAUUACUGUAGAGGGGCAACUUGCAUUGCAUUUCCUCCGGAUUCCAGUAUUUCGAUUAUAUUUGUCCUGUGGAUUGUGCUGUUUACAAUAUGAAGGUUCUGAUUGUGUUUGCCUGCCUCUUGGUUGCGACCAGCGCUCACUUGUGUCUGCUCUCUCCACGCCAGAGGGGAUCAAUGAUGGGCAUCAACAAACCAGGGGCAACAGACUGCAUCCUCCUGAAAGGACCAUGUGGUGAACGUACAGGGAUGCCCACCACCGGAGUCAAAGCUGGCACAAACUUUACAGUGUUGAUUCAGAAGAACUUGGACCACUGGGAUAAAGCAACACCUGGCUACUUCACGGUAUCAUGGGGACUCAGUGAAACGUCAAUGACUAUGAUUGCCAAGGUGCAGGACAAUGGAGAACCUAGUCUUUAUAUCUAUGAAGUUGAAGUCACUGCCCCAAAAUCUUUGAACGAUCACUACAUCAUGCAGGUGACGUAUGUAACAAUGAACAAGCAGGCACCACCCGUGUUCUACCAGUGUGCAGACUUUGGUGUAUACUAAAGAUUCAAACAGUAUAUUCCAUUUCACAGAGCGAAGGGAUUAUGUUACCCAAAUAUUAAUGUUGCAGAGUUCGUGCGAGUAGUAACAUUUAACAAUAUAGAUAUUUCUUCAAUUUCAUGGGACUUAGUUGUAACCCAUAGUUUCACACAACUUUGUAAAGUUCGGAUCAGGGCCUAGAUUAUGUUUGUUGUUUGAAAAAAUAGCUCAUAUAUUCAAUGGUUCAACCUCUUGAUAUCAAACAUGGUGACUUAGCUUGUAUUCGCGAAUGCAACUGUAUACGCCUGUCGGCUACUUGAUUAAGAUAUUACUUUAUGGGUAACUCAUUUA
rnacentral:misc_RNA from 1 species